AACGCGAAGAACCUUACCAAGUCUUGACAUCCUUUGACCACCCUAGAGAUAGGGCUUUCCCUUCGGGGACAAAGUGACAGGUGGUGCAUGGUUGUCGUCAGCUCGUGUCGUGAGAUGUUGGGUUAAGUCCCGCAACGAGCGCAACCCUUGCCUUUAGUUGCCAUCAUUAAGUUGGGCACUCUAGAGGGACUGCCAGGGAUAACCUGGAGGAAGGUGGGGAUGACGUCAAAUCAUCAUGCCCCUUAUGCUUAGGGCUACACACGUGCUACAAUGGGUGGUACAGAGGGCAGCCAAGUCGUGAGGCGGAGCUAAUCCCUUAAAGCCAUUCUCAGUUCGGAUUGUAGGCUGAAACUCGCCUACAUGAAGCUGGAGUUACUAGUAAUCGCAGAUCAGAAUGCUGCGGUGAAUGCGUUCCCGGGUCUUGUACACACCG
rnacentral:rRNA from 1 species